UUAAAAACCAAUGUUAUCAUCUUCUUUCAUAACCGAAUAUGAACAAAAGAAAAAGAAAGAAAACAAAGCUAGGGUUCGGCCAUUUCUAAGCUUGAUUCAAGAUUAAAAACCGAAGAAAUCGGAGUUGGAUCGAGGAAAAACCAAAGUCAUCGAUUAAUUGUCCUGUUCCGAUUCUUAUCGUUCGAGAUUUUGAGGUCGUUACGUGCUCGGGGAUCAUCGGUGAAGUCAUUCACACUAUCAUCUACAUUCGGCACUCUUAAAAUUUUCUUUAAAACACUUAUGGCAUGCAUAGGCUAGAAGAUAUAAAAAUAUUUUGGUCUGAUUUCGGUUGUGUAUAUAAAAGCCAUACGAAAAUGGCUUAUUUUCUUUUGUUUGAUCUUGGUAAUGACACAAAUGAUGGAUGAUACAAAAUGGAAGUUUACUAAUUUAUAUUCGGGUGUGGUUUAGUUUAUAAUAUAGAUGUAUAUUUGGUAUAUAUAUUUGUGUGAGAUUUUGUGAUAUGAAUUGAAUGUAGCAUGUAUAUGAAAUAGAGGUUAUUAAGUUGAAUAUGUAUAGAAUAGUUUUGGAAUUUGCUUAAAUUCGAGAGUAUAUGCAAUAUAGCCAUGUAAAUAUGGUUUAUAAUUUGAGGAAUGCUUAUAUUCGGUUAGCUAAUGGAAAUAAAGAGUGCGGUUGGAUAUUGAA